AACGAACGCUGGCGGCAUGCCUAACACAUGCAAGUCGAACGAGACCUUCGGGUCUAGUGGCGCACGGGUGCGUAACGCGUGGGAACCUGCCCUUAGGCUCGGAAUAACUCCCCGAAAGGGGUGCUAAUACCGGAUAAUGUCUUCGGACCAAAGAUUUAUCGCCUUUGGAUGGGCCCGCGUUGGAUUAGCUAGUUGGUAGGGUAAAAGCCUACCAAGGCGACGAUCCAUAGCUGGUAUGAGAGGAUGAUCAGCCACACUGGGACUGAGACACGGCCCAGACUCCUACGGGAGGCAGCAGUGGGGAAUAUUGGAAAAUGGGCGAAAGCCUGAUCCAGCAAUGCCGCGUGAGUGAUGAAGGCCUUAGGGUUGUAAAGCUCUUUUACCCGGGAUGAUAAUGACAGUACCGGGAGAAUAAGCACCGGCUAACUCCGUG
rnacentral:rRNA from 1 species